ensembl:lincRNA
AGGUGCUCCCUCUCCAACCCGGGCUAGCGGUGCCCCUCUGCCCCUAAAACUAUGUCCUUCUGGGCUGUUUCUGGAGCGCUCACCUGUCCAGAAGAGCGGUCCUCAAACCAUCCACCACCCACCUGCCCCUGAACCGCUCAGGACAAUUUAAUGCCACAUACAGAAAACAAGGUGCAUCUAGAGAGAAGACAACGUGAAGACACAGGGAGACCACCAGCCACAGAGCAAGGAACCUCGAAGACUGUGAGCAAACCACUAGAAUCUAGAAGAGAACAUAGAACAGAAGUUUCCUCACAAUUCUCAGAAGGAACCAACACUGCCCUCACCUUGAUCUCAGACUUCGACCCCCAGAGCACUGAGACAUUACAUUCUGUUCUGAACCAGGCCAUAGGCUCCACCAGAAGCUGUGCUGAGGACCGCAGUGGACAUGGGCACGAACACUUCUCCAUCUCUCUUUUUCAUACCACACUUCAGCAGACGUGAGGAAGAGCUCCAUGCAUCAUCCCCUAUGGCUGACUGGAGCCUGUGCUUUGCUGACUAGGGUCUUGAGAAGAAAAAAAAUCUCUCUCUGUUUUCCCAAAUGAUGAAGUUUUAUUGUUUAUGAGCCCUUUUAUGUUGUAAACCUAGGAAAGGUGAGGGACCCAUGAAACUGUAUUUUAAAAAAAUCCUUUAAAUCUGCACCUUGUAUAUCUAUCCUUUGUCUGAGCUUCUCUUUCUCCUCUUACCAAAACAAACCAUUGUGAGAUAUGUGUAUUUUUAACCUGAGAUGCAGGUCUUAUAUAAUACAACAAACUUUGAAGAUCCGAUUCACAUAAAUUGGAUUGCAAACCAAAUAAAAUUUGC